GACCCUUGGUCAGAGGCUAUCCUCUCUGACCUCUUGUCAGCAUAUUCUUGAUCCGACUUUUGAUCUAAAAGAGCUAGUCGGAGUGCACACUUUAAGCAGUGUAGUCACAUGAUUGAUUAUGAUUCGUCCGACCCCUAGUCAGCGUGUGCUUGGUCCAACCCCUAGUCAGUCAGUCUUUGAUCCAAUCCCUAGUCGGAUGGUUCUUUGUCUGAAUUUUGAAUGGAAAAAGUUUAAUCCGACCCUUGGUCGGAGAAUUUGCUGAUCGAUCUCCAGUCACAUCUGAUCC
rnacentral:lncRNA from 1 species